ACGUGGGCAAUCUGCCCUUCACUCUGGGACAAGCCCUGGAAACGGGGUCUAAUACCGGAUAGCACUCCUGCCUGCAUGGGUGGGGUUGAAAGCUCCGGCGGUGAAGGAUGAGCCCGCGGCCUAUCAGCUUGUUGGUGAGGUAGUGGCUCACCAAGGCGACGACGGGUAGCCGGCCUGAGAGGGCGACCGGCCACACUGGGACUGAGACACGGCCCAGACUCCUACGGGAGGCAGCAGUGGGGAAUAUUGCACAAUGGGCGAAAGCCUGAUGCAGCCAUGCCGCGUGUGUGAAGAAGGCCU
rnacentral:rRNA from 1 species